CGGGUGAGUAACACGUGGAUAACCUACCUAUAAGACUGGGAUAACUUCGGGAAACCGGAGCUAAUACCGGAUAAUAUUUUGAACCGCAUGGUUCAAAAGUGAAAGACGGUCUUGCUGUCACUUAUAGAUGGAUCCGCGCUGCAUUAGCUAGUUGGUAAGGUAACGGCUUACCAAGGCAACGAUGCAUAGCCGACCUGAGAGGGUGAUCGGCCACACUGGAACUGAGACACGGUCCAGACUCCUACGGGAGGCAGCAGAG
rnacentral:rRNA from 1 species